AGUGAACGCUGGCGGUAGGCCUAACACAUGCAAGUCGAACGGCAGCACAGUAAGAGCUUGCUCUUACGGGUGGCGAGUGGCGGACGGGUGAGGAAUACAUCGGCAUCUACUUUUUCGUGGGGGAUAACGUAGGGAAACUUCCGCUAAUACCGCAUACUACCUACGGGUGAAAGCAGGGGAUCUUCGGACCUUUCGCGAUUGAAUGAGCCGAUGUCGGAUUAGCUAGUUGGCGGGGUAAAGGCCCACCAAGGCGACGAUCCGUAGCUGGUCUGAGAGGAUGAUCAGCCACACUGGAACUGAGACACGGUCCAGACUCCUACGGGAGGCAGCAGUGGGGAAUAUUGGACAAUGGGCGCAAGCCUGAUCCAGCCAUACCGCGUGGGUGAAGAAGGCCUUCGGGUUGUAAAGCCCUUUUGUUGGGAAAGAAAAGCAGCAGGUUAAUACCCCGCUGUUCUGACGGUACCCAAAGAAUAAGCAACGGCUAACUUCGUG
rnacentral:rRNA from 1 species